GCAUACGCUACCAGACCACAUUAUUGCGAACGGGGAGCAUUCACUAAACGGCGGUUUGUGCAUUUACUACUGGAGGUACCGUAACAGACAUCAGUCGUUUGGAAGAAAAUUAUGUUUAACCCCUUAAGGACCAAACUUCUGGAAUAAAAGGCAAUCAUGACAUGUCAUGUGUCCUUAAGGGGUUAUAAAGAUUUUUCAAUAAUUUUCCUUACAAAGAAAAUGCUGGAGAUAAAGAUAUCUUUAAACACACUACAUUGAAGAAAAG